GGUUUCUGAACAUGGUCUCUUUCUUGUGGGCUUCUACAGAGCUGCAAGCGUUUGCUCACCACGGCCGCUCCCUGCCAAGAUUCCAGGUGACUCUAUGCUUUGGAGAGGAGUUUCCAGACCCUCAGAGGCAAAGAAAGCUCAUCACAGCUCAUGUGAGUCCUCAGUUACACUCCUACCAUAGUGGCUUCCUGUUCUUUGUAAAGGCCAGAGUUUCAUUUAGAAAAGUCCCAAAUGAAAAGUAAAUGUCAAAUGACCUGGAAAAAUAAGCGUAACCCUUAAACUAGUGAGGGAGGAAGCAUGGUCCAACGAGUAGCACAGUCUGAGGACCCACGUGCUCCUCCCAGACUUGAGAUCUGCUCAUCAAAGAACCAGGGAGGACAGCCUCAAAGAAGGGUGCCUCUUUCCCCAUCUUUUUUAUUUUUCAGGAAAGUUGUCGUAUUUCCAUUUUAUAGGGAUUGAAAAAGAUUGAUGGUAAAAGCUGCCCUUUAAAAUUCUCCAGGUUAAGAUU
rnacentral:lncRNA from 1 species